UUCGACGCAACGCGCAGAACCUUACCUGGUCUUGACAUCCCGAGAAUUUCCUUGAAGAGGAAGUGCCUCGCAAGAGGAGCUUGGAGACAGGUGCUGCAUGGCUGUCGUCAGCUCGUGUCGUGAGAUGUUGGGUUAAGUCCCGCAACGAGCGCAACCCUUAUUCUUAGUUGUUUCCCUUUGGGAUUACCCUCUAAGAAGACUGCCUCGGAUAACGGGGAGGAAGGUGGAGAUGACGUCAAGUCCGCAUGCUCCUUACGUCUAGGGCUACACACGUCCUACAAUGGGGUCGACAAUGGGAUGCAAUAUCGCAAGAUGGAGCCAAUCCCCAAACGGCCUCUCAGUUCGGAUUGUAGUCUGCAACUCGACUACAUGAAGUUGGAAUCGCUAGUAAUGGCAGAUCAGCAUGCUGCCGUGAAUACGUCCCCGGGUCUU
rnacentral:rRNA from 1 species